CUGGUUCCUGUGAGGUUGCACAUGUUUAUUGGUCAAGGUUUGUGUGAGAGUAAGAUACUGCCAGGUCUACAGCCGCUGGAUAGAGCAUGCAGGGGUAUGCAUGAAAUGACGUCGCAUCAUUUAUUUGGACUGGAGGCAGUUUCAGAAGUGAAAUGAACAUGAUUAGAUCUGUUAGUCAUCUCGCAGCAUUUUGCAGCAGCUCCUUAUCCCAGAGGAUUUAUGGUAGAUUUGUAUCAUCCACCUUCACUACAUCUACGAGAAAUUUUGCCACAGAUUAU